GUCUAUGGCCAUGCCACCUUGAACAAGCCCCAUCCCGUCUGAUCUCAGAAGCUAAGCAGGGUCGGGCCUGGUUAGUACUCGGAUGGGAGACCACCUAGGAAGACCAGGUGCUGUAGGCA
rnacentral:rRNA from 1 species